AUUGAACGCUGGCGGCAGGCUUAACACAUGCAAGUCGAACGGUAACAGGAAGAAAGCUUGCUUUCUUUGCUGACGAGUGGCGGACGGGUGAGUAAUGCUUGGGAAUCUGCCUUAUGGAGGGGGAUAACUACGGGAAACUGUAGCUAAUACCGCGUAAUAUCUUCGGAUUAAAGUGUGGGACCUUCGGGCCACAUGCCAUAAGAUGAGCCCAAGUGAGAUUAGGUAGUUGGUGAGGUAAAGGCUCACCAAGCUGACGAUCUCUAGCUGGUUUGAGAGGAUGACCAGCCACACUGGAACUGAGACACGGUCCAGACUCCUACGGGAGGCAGCAGUGGGGAAUAUUGCACAAUGGGCGCAAGCCUGAUGCAGCCAUGCCGCGUGAAUGAAGAAGGCUUUCGGGUUGUAAAGUUCUUUCAGUGGUGAGGAAGGUGCAUUAUCUAAUAGGUAAUGCAAUUGACGUUAGCCACAGAAGAAGCACCGGCUAACUCCGUGCCAGCAGCCGCGGUAAUACGGAGGGUGCGAGCGUUAAUCGGAAUAACUGGGCGUAAAGGGCACGCAGGCGGUUGUCUAAGUCGGAUGUGAAAGCCCCGAGCUUAACUUGGGAAUUGCAUUUGAGACUGGGCGACUAGAGUCCUCUAGGGAGGGGUAGAAUUCCACGUGUAGCGGUGAAAUGCGUAGAGAUGUGGAGGAAUACCGAAGGCGAAGGCAGCCCCUUGGAGAGAGACUGACGCUGAGUGCGAAAGCGUGGGUAGCAAACAGG
rnacentral:rRNA from 1 species